UACGGAGGAUGCAAGCGUUAUCCGGAUUUAUUGGGUUUAAAGGGUGUGCAGGCGGAAUGAUAAGUCAGUGGUGAAAUCCUACGGCUCAACCGUAGAAUUGCCAUUGAUACUGUUAUUCUUGAGUACAGUUGAAGUGGGCGGAAUGUGUCAUGUAGCGGUGAAAUGCAUAGAUAUGACACAGAACACCGAUAGCGAAGGCAGCUCACUAAGCUGUGACUGACGCUCAUGCACGAAAGCGUGGGGAGCAAACAGGAUUAGAUACCCUGGUAGUCCACGCUGUAAACGAUGAUCACUCGCUGUUGGCGAUAUACAGUCAGCGGCUAAGCGAAAGUAUUAAGUGAUCCACCUGGGGAGUACGAUCGCAAGGUUGAA
rnacentral:rRNA from 1 species